UACGAGGGGGGCGAGCGUUGUUCGGAAUUAUUGGGCGUAAAGGGUGCGUAGGCGGUUCGGUAAGUUUCGUGUGAAAGCCCCCGGCUCAACUGGGGAGGGUCACGCGAUACUGAUCGACUCGAAGGCAGGAGAGGGUAGUGGAAUUCCCGGUGUAGUGGUGAAAUGCGUAGAUAUCGGGAGGAACACCAGUGGCGAAGGCGACUACCUGGCCUGUUCUUGACGCUGAGGCGCGAAAGCUAGGGGAGCAAACGGG
rnacentral:rRNA from 1 species